UAAUAACCCAUCCAAACCCGACAACCCCAAAGCCUAAUAGUACCCCAUCCAAACCCGACAACCCCAAAGCUUAAUGAUACCGCAUCCAAACCUGACAACCCCCAGCCCCCGAGCUUAAUAAUAAUCAAUCAAAAAAUUUAAGAACGCUACUGUAUUUUUAUUUAAGAGAAAGAUAUUCUGUCUGUGGCUUGCGGUUACAAGGUACUCUUCGAAGGAUCACUUUUUCUGACUUCCUACGAACCAAACAGUUGCGGGAAAUUUUGGAUUAGGUGUCCUCUCCUGAAGGGAGUGACCUACACCUUCUCUCAAUCACAAAACAGAUGGAAUAGGAAAAUGUCAAUUCCGCAGGGCCAGUACAAUGCCCAUUUUCAGUGUAAAGACCAAAAUGACGAUUACCUUGUUUGUUUCACUGCGGCUGCGUAUUGGGUGUUCUAGUCCGUUUGAACUUACACGGACCUACAAGAUAUGACAAACCACCGUAUGCUGUUAGUUCUAUUAAUCUAAUAAACUGUUGCUUAA